UACGUAGGUGGCGAGCGUUGUCCGGAUUUACUGGGCGUAAAGAGCGCGCAGGCGGUCGUGUAAGUCGAAUGUGAAAGCCCCCGGCUCAACUGGGGAGGGUCAUUCGAUACUGCUCGACUCGAAGGCAGGAGAGGGAAGCGGAAUUCCCGGUGUAGUGGUGAAAUGCGUAGAUAUCGGGAGGAACACCAGUGGCGAAGGCGGCUUUCUGGCCUGUUCUUGACGCUGAGGCGCGAAAGCUAGGGGAGCAAACGGG
rnacentral:rRNA from 1 species